UAGUUUUAUUUGAACGGUACCUUUGGCCUGUCAGUCACCUAGUCACUCAGCAAAUAUUUAUUACAUAUCAUGUCCUGCUCUGGAGCUAAGCUGGGAAUAGACAAUACAAUGACUAUGUCUCUGUGUUUGGCAAGGGAAAAAGAAGGCAAAAGAAAAACUGCUCCAGGAGAAAGAACAACUGAGAUAUGUCUGGCAAGUUGAUUCAAGAAACAGUUGCCCAGCCUCCAAGCCUGGAUAAGUCUUCACCAAACUAGGUACAAAGACAAGUUCACACUUCUUGCUAAAGGAGGAUACAAUUGUCCUUUGUGCUGGAGAGUGAUCUCAUGGUGCUACGUGUGGCCCUGUUCUGGUGAAGAGUGGCAGACGUCACCCUUUCUUCAGUAGGCUCCAGCCCGCUCCGUGGCUGAUCAUCAGCCCUCGAUACCCUGAAGUCUGUAGCCUUGAGAUUCCGUGAAGCGAGAGGCUGAUCAGAUGGUCCCCAGUCCCUCCACUGCAACCAGAUCAUUUUGCCCCGAUAGUGUUUUGAAAUUUCUGGCUACCCCAUAUGAGUUUGUUUUGUCUUUCUGCCUAGAUAGCAAAUUCAAGGACAGGGUUCUGCUGACCAAAUAACAGAUGCAAAGGCAGGCUUGGGGGAAGGGGGUUUGCAUCAUCUGAUUCUCAGGAAAAUGUUACCAAUUCCAGGCAUCUAUCCCCAGCCCCCUCAACAACCUUGACACACACCCAGGGUGUAACCUCAUUACUGGGGAGCGAA
ensembl:processed_transcript